CCUCCCGGGCAGCUGUCAGAGGCGGCGGCGGCGGCGGCCGGUCCCGCGGGCGGGCGGUCCCGCAGGCAGGCGGUCCCGCGGGAUGCGGCGCUGAACGCGCACCGCCGGUCACUCGGCGCGGGCUCCUGCUGCGCCGCGGUUGUCUCCCCCCGCAGCUCAUGAUGUGCCUGGAAAGCGACGGUUCCUCCGGUAGCAGCCCGGGCUGCGGCGGGCGGCUCCGAGCCGGCGACGAGGAGGAGGAGGAAGAGGGCGAGCGGGGCUGCUGCGGCCGGGGAGCCGAGGGCGAGGUGCAGACCCUGUCGGGCAGGAUGAACCCGCCGGCGGCCGGCAAGCACCCCGAGCGCCCGCCCGGCCGCCCCAAGGCGCCGAGCCUCGGCCGGGCCCGCGUGGCCGCCGCCGGUAUCCUCAGCGUGGGCAACGUGCUCAACUACCUGGACCGGUACACGGUGGCAGGUGUGUUACUAGACAUCCAGCAGCACUUUGGAGUCAAGGACAGUGGGGCUGGCUUAUUACAGACAGUUUUCAUCUGUAGUUUCAUGGUUGCAGCACCUAUCUUUGGUUACCUUGGUGACCGUUUCAACAGAAAGAUCAUUCUCAGCUGCGGGAUCUUCUUUUGGUCAGCUGUCACUUUUUCAAGCUCCUUCAUCACUGAACAGUAUUUCUGGCUGCUUGUGCUCUCGCGAGGUUUGGUUGGCAUCGGUGAAGCGAGUUACUCCACUAUUGCACCAACCAUCAUAGGAGACCUUUUCACCAAAAACACAAGGACCCUUAUGCUGUCUGUUUUCUACUUUGCAAUUCCUCUUGGCAGUGGCCUGGGAUACAUCACCGGCUCAAGUGUGAAGCAGGUUGCUGGAGACUGGCACUGGGCGCUGCGGGUGUCUCCACUUCUGGGAAUGAUAACAGGGACACUCAUCUUGAUAUUUGUACCUACUGCUAAAAGAGGAAAUGUUGAACAACUUGGGGGACAGCUGAAGGCUCGGACCUCGUGGCUAAGAGACAUGAAAGCACUGAUUAGAAACCGCAGCUACGUGUUCUCAUCGUUGGCCACGUCAGCUGUCUCCUUUGCCACAGGGGCGCUUGGCAUGUGGAUCCCUCUCUACCUUCACAGAGCACAGGUCGUGCAGAAGACAGCAGAGACCUGCGACAAACAGUCCUGCAGCACCAAAGAUAGCUUGAUCUUUGGAGCAAUCACAUGCUUCACUGGUUUCCUGGGUGUAAUCACAGGGGCUGGGGCAACCAAAUGGUGCCGGUUAAAAACCCAGCGAGCUGAUCCUCUUGUCUGUGCUGUCGGCAUGCUAGGAUCAGCCAUCUUCAUCUGUCUGAUCUUCGUUGCUGCCAAGAACAGUAUUGUGGGAGCCUAUAUUUGCAUUUUUAUCGGAGAAACUCUUCUGUUUUCAAACUGGGCUAUCACAGCAGACAUACUAAUGUAUGUGGUCAUUCCGACCCGCCGUGCAACCGCAGUGGCCUUGCAGAGCUUCACUUCACACCUCCUGGGAGAUGCUGGCAGUCCUUAUCUGAUUGGAUUUAUCUCAGACCUGAUACGACAAAGCACAAAGGAGUCCCCAGUCUGGGAGUUCCUCAGCUUGGGGUACGCACUCAUGCUCUGCCCGUUUGUCGUUGUCCUAGGAGGGAUGUUUUUCCUGGCCACAGCCCUCUUCUUCCUAAGUGACCGAGCCAAAGCUGAACAACAUAAAGAAACCGAUUCGGACCACCUCACGGUUGGCAACUACAGUAAUUCAGAAGACGCUUCCACAUGACAUACAAACUUCUGGGGGUGAAUCAACUUGUGAUGCCACCAGCCUCUGUGAAAGUCUGAGACGUUGCCAGUGAAGGAAAUGACAUAUGGACUGCUGCUCCCACCGCUGCCCCAAUCUCAAGCUCAAAGCCCUUCUGUACUGGAACCCGGUGGAUCCUUCAGCUCCACACCACCCUGGAAGGGUUAUCCUGCACCAAGUCAAUCACACCACUCCAGCCUGCAGGGUCACACACCAGAUGAGCCGGGCAGCCUGGAACACAAGUACUUCUUGACCAUAAGGACGUUCACAGGUUCCUCUGUGCAUCAAAAGCAACUGUCCACUGGACCCACAAUGUGCUACCCAAGUGAGUGACUGUCAAUUGUGUAUAUGGUUUUAGUUGUAGCCAAUGAAGUCCGCAUCGUUUGUAGGGCACCUUACGUCCUAUUGAAUGCUGCUGUUCUGGCAGCACUCCCACACCCAGAGACUGCACUAGUUGGGGACCUAUUCUGUACAUCACCUUUUGUUUCACACUGAAGGCUCGAUUCAGAUUAUUAUUUUUUAUUUAAAUAUGUCAUAAGAUGCUUUAUCUCUGCUGAAGACAUUAGAUGACAGAUAUAUAUAUAUAUAUUUAGAUAAACAGUUUUUAUUUAAACAUUUAAAAUCUGGAGCUGCCUGUGCAACCGUACCAGACAUGAAUAACGUCCACAACUCUCCUCAUCUCAGUGCCCUGGUAUCGGGCCCUGCAAGGGCGCCCAUAGGAAGACUUCCAGCGGAUGACGACCUGUCACCUGAGGCUGGGCAAUGGGACAGAGGAGAGAGUUUCACUGCACUGGGUAUGCUGGUGGUUGCUACAGAAAGGCCCAGAAGAACUUUGGACAGAAAUACUUAGGGGCUCUAGAGUUUGCUCCAUGCGCUGAAUUCAGCCUUCCCUGGGAGGCUCACAGGGUUUUAAAACACCGAACUCCAUCUAGCUGAAUUGCUUUACCUAGGGCCCGGUAGUGCAAUACUGCUGUGCCAGUGACAUCAUGCUUCGUUUACACGCGUAUCAUACAUCGUCAGUGCUAAUUCUCCCUCUGUCAGUAUUUCCAAAGCAGGUGGCUGAUACUCUACCGUAGCUGUUUCCUUUGGAACAAUCCUUAGGUUUAAUGUGUGCCCAGCCCCAGACUAUUCUUACGGGGGGGUGUCAGUUCGUCACUUUUAUCUUUAUGAUGAUGCAUUUGAGAUCUUUAAUAUACAAGGCCAGUGUCUGAACUGUGUUAGGCUCCAGCGCACAAGCACGUGUCUGUAAAGCAGAGUGACAUUUCACUAGAGUCUUGCUUCCUGCACUUGGCCUCCACAAGCCACAUUUAUGCUAUGUCAGCUUGGUGCAGCAACAGCGUGAGGAAGGAAGGUGAGCACAGGCUCUGGAGAAAGAGUCAGGCUUCCAGAGAAAGGUCAUUGGUUCAGCGAACUCCCCACUCCUUUUUUUCUCUUUAGAUGUCUCCCACAGUUUAGCUACUCCCCUCCAGUUAAGCACACAUCUUGAGCAGGUGAAUGCACCGCACUCUUGUGCUCAGGUUUAACAAGUGGCUGUGGUUGGGCUACAAGCAGGGCUAAAUCAGCAAAGGAAAUGCCAAGCCAGGACUGGAUGCGAGUUAAGCCUGGAAGCUGGCUGUCUGAUUGUGGUGUAAGUUUGUUCAGAGACACAGGAAGGUACUGUUAGUAAAUCUGGGUUUUAUCUCCCUUUCACUUCCAGGAUGCGUUAGGACUUACAGUACAGCAUUGUAGUCGAGAUGGUCCGUAAUUCCAGUUAUGCGCGAACUGGUUAAUACUCACUGCGUAGCCAGUCUCUGCCCAGGCAGGUGGGUUCUGAGGGUGACUCCUAUAACAAUGCCAGCCUUUCCUCCUCAUCAAACUCCACAGGACUCUUCUGCAAAGGUUGUUCCGUCACCUAAAAUACCUUAACAAUAGCUUUAGGAUUUGGGUAAACAAUUAGAGCCAGAAAUUUUCCUCGAGUGCCUGGGCAUCCUCUGGAGAGCAGCAAGCGGGUGCUAGAAAUAAUAAAGCAAAGCAAAGCCAGAACAAUGCUUCAUUUCCCACCUCGUGCCAGUAUUUACAUUUGGAGGGGAAAUACUGCCUCUGUAGUCUGGGAGCCAAAACACUUGGCUUUAAAGGCACAUCAAUUUCUGAGUCCAAGUAAGAAAUUCCUUGUUAAGCAGUUUAAAAAGAAACAAAAAGCAACUCAAUCAUCAGUCAUUUCAUCUCAGAGACCAAAGAAGAUUAGCCACAUUUCCUGAUCUGCUUUUCUGUUAGGCUCUUCUGUUGUAGCAGUUACUGUCAGCAAAAUGAAGCAUUCCUGCUAAAGUUCAGAGAUUAGGAAUUGUCCUUAACUUAACUCUCAGGAGUCAACAAUGAAAAGGGAACUUAAGUGUUCUGUAAUUUCAGUAGUUCUCCUCGUUAUUCAUAAUUUCAGUAGUUCUCCUCGCUAGUGACAAGCCCCAGUCCUUGUUAGAGAAGGGCAGCGCUGUUACAGGGGCCAGCUUUAUCUUCUGUGCAUACGAAGGCAAUCGCUGUGGCUUUCUUUUUAACGUGGAAAGAGGGGAGGGAGCAAGCCAGGGCAUGAAAAGUGAGUCCUAUCUGCAUCAGUUCCACACAAAGGGAUCCCUGAAUCCCUGCUCCCACACGUUCCAGGCUCAGAGAGGGAAGCCAAAGCAGCAGCUACGACAGCUCAGAGGAGAUGAACAGAAGGGAGAGGAAACUCAGGCUUUCCACCUCCUGCAGAUGCUGCUGCUCCUUUACACGCUGAUGGCCCCUGUUUGAAUGGCCAGAAGCUGAAAGGCUGCAUUUCUUGUUGACUGUUUCUUGCUUUAGCUGCGAAGACUUGUUCAGUUAGUGCUUCUAUAAAUGUACUUGGUCUAGUAGAAGGAAACCAGCUCACUCACAUCAAGGGUCCAUAGAUUAUGGCAGAACCAGGUACAUCAAGUCUGGACGGGAAAUGUAUGUAUUACUGAACAGAAACUGGACCUGUGCUGCCAUAUAAGCCCCUUCCCCGGAUUCUAACAUACUGUUCCAGGACAUCAGCCCUUUUCUGCUAGUGUAUGACUCGGGGAGGGUCACUGCCCGGCCUCAGUUUCUUUAUAUGCAAGGCUGAGAUACUCGCGGCUGAGAUGCUGUAUGAACAAGCGAUGCCGUGUUCCUGAACUCCAGCAGAGAUCAGUUGUUCCCCAUCGUUAAAGAAAAGACUUACAGUAUUGUGUUAUACUGGUGCUGAACCCUGGACUUAGCAAGCAACGGUGGGCUGGCUUCCCCUGUGACUGCAUUUUAGGUGUAGAUGUAACCAGGCUUGGAAGCUGUUAGGGCCGUUUGGUUGUUGACCUUGUGGAGCAGUGGCGCAAUUUUUGGUACAUGCAUAGGAAGUGUUUCUGGAAUGAGAAUAGAAGUCUAGACUGAACACACAUUACUUAUAUCCAAAGCUGAAUAACAACCCUCAUUAAAAUUAGUAUUUCUGGUUUUAUAAAGAAAGGCUGUUAAUAGGAAAAUUUUUAAUUAUGUUUUUAAUAAAGUACCCACAUAUUUAACCACCGAUCACACUUAGUGAAGUAAGAUUCCAGCCUGCCACUUAAAUAAGGUGUUGUGCAGGUUAUUAAGGUUACGUUUGUGGUUUUAACCUUCAACACAGAAUUAAAUAGUCUCAAAAAGGACAGAAAUAACUUUAAAGCCACCGAUUUCUUGCACACAAAAUCACUUCAUGGGAAUGUCUGACAAUUAGACUAUGCAAACAGGAGCCCCUGAAUGCAUCUGAAAACAUAUGGGAAAAUACUACCAAAAGGCAGUGAGCACUACUCACACCCUCCCAUCCCACCACAUCCACGUCUCCUCAGGACAGGGGGCCAAGCGAGGGGAAAGGUGUUCAGGUUAGUGGCUGGUGCUGCUGUGUCUUGCCCCCACUCCCUGGUACCUGCCGCCUCACUCCGUUCCUCAGGGCUGCAACUGGUCCUUCCCCAGUGCUCUGCCCCCGUUCUCCACCUCUGCCUGAGGGUCGCCCACACUGAUGGUUUGCUGCGGGACACAGGCUCCUUCCAAUCUCCCUUCAGUCUGUGGGACCCACGAUGUUAGCUGCAGCCUUACUGCAUUCACCAGGCUCUGGGCAGGGUGCGGGGUGUCCAGAGUGCCCUGGGGAGGGUCCAGGAUGCCCCUCAGUUAAUCAUGAGGGCUUUCUUCUACUCCACUUCAUAAACCCCCUUUUGUUUUUUUUUAAGCAAGCAUGAACUCCCUCCACAGCUAAUACUGCAUUUGCACCAAUGCACCCACUACAGAAGAAAUUAGGCGGCUUGUACACAGCAGGAGGAACAGAGGUAAUGGGAAUUGCACAGAGAGGCAAGAAAAUUACCCCAAAAAGCAGCAAUCUGCCCGCCCAAGUAACUAUAAUGCCUCCUAGAGCCUCUCCCCUUUUAUAGACUACCUAAGAGAGAACCUCAGGGUGGCUACGCCCUAUAAAUGAAUGCCUGUACUCUGGAAAGUGGAGUUCCUUUCUGCAUCCCCGUCCUAAUGAUUUGUUUUAUUCUCUGUUUGCUUUAUUGUUUGGUAAACCAGCACUUACAAUCACUUUUGCUACGUGAUGUACGGGAGUAUACAGUGUAUUUUCUUGUUAUACAAGGGAGCAGUAUAAAAUAGUUUUCUGAUUUCUUUCAGAAGCAAAUUACUAUUUUAUUUUUUAAGGGCAAUUGAUUGUGAAUCUCAGAGUAUAAAAAAAGAUAAAUAAGCCAAAUAUAUACCUUUAUGUAAAUUAAGAAAUAAAAGUAUUUAAAACAUA